UACGUAGGGUGCGAGCGUUAAUCGGAAUUACUGGGCGUAAAGAGCGCGCAGGCGGUCGGAUAAGUCGAAUGUGAAAGCCCCCGGCUCAACUGGGGAGGGUCAUUCGAUACUGUUCGACUCGAAGGCAGGAGAGGGGAGUGGAAUUCCCGGUGUAGUGGUGAAAUGCGUAGAUAUCGGGAGGAACACCAGUGGCGAAGGCGACUUCCUGGCCUGUUCUUGACGCUGAGGCGCGAAAGCUAGGGGAGCAAACGGG
rnacentral:rRNA from 1 species